CGUGCUCCGCAACAGCUUCCGGCGUGACGCAGUAGAAAAAGUGGCGUGGCUGGCGAUUCGUGUUCGUGAGGGCCUUUUCUGCAGCAGAAUAACAAAAGGCAACCCUGGGCUUGGCCAGCUCAAACAGGAAGAAAGCAAGGUGCUAAGGACCCAGCCAGCAUAGGCUCAGGCUGUGAAAGGCAAGGCCAUGCUAGAGGAAGAGGGAGAAGAUGGACCUGGUCUGGAGGCCUAACCAGCAGUCUGACAAUGCAUAGUGAAACUCCAUGGGAAAAGAUGACAUGAACUUAGAUGAAAGAGGUUGGCAAAUGCAAAAUCAGGGCUGUAAAAUGCAAGGGGAAUAAUCUUUAACUCCAUGAAAACCAAAACUUGGAUAGGGUCACACAUGAAGAUGAUGAUGAUGCCAGGAUCAGUGACAGCUCCUACUCAACUGCUAGGCUAAUGGCCUCUAAAGUGGACUUUGCCAUCCUUUGACCAUCAGAGCCAAGGGAGUCUUACCAAGUCUGUUUGGGAACAGCACUGGCAGGUCAAGUUUCCUGACUUCCUGGCCAGGAUUCCUGAAGUCCUUUUCAUCCCUGUCUGCACCAUCCACAGUGCCAUCUUCUACCUCCGUGGGUUCCCCAUUCUGGUGAUUCAGCUCUCCAGCCUCAAUAUCACUUCCUUCUUGGCCAGGAACAGCAUCGCUUGCCAUAGGAGGUGCAGAGGCCCAGGAGCCUGAAAGAGCAUUCAUUUCCUCAUAAAAGAUAGAAGGCUCAGGCACACGGCCUCUCCUCACUUUGCCGUAACUCAACUGUAGGCUUUUGAACUUGGUGCGACACUGUUCUGGGGUCCGCAGAAAACCCUGCUCCCAGAGUCCUUCCGCCAUGGCCCUGUAGAUCUGGCUGUUCUGCUGACAGGUCUGGAGUUUUCCAUAAAAUUGAGAACUACUAAGAAUAGCCAGGAGCGUCUUGGUCUCUUCAUAGCCCCAGGGCACACCUGUUGCUGGGGGACAAAGAAUAGGUCAAUCAGAUCUGUCAGUUAGAUCAUGGAGGACUGUACAUACUGCAGUGCGCAGUUUUGGCAGCUUAAAAAGUUACAUCCUAGGCUGGACGCGGUGGCUCACACCUGUAAUCCCAGCACUUUGGGAGGCCAAGGCGGGCAGAUCAUGAGGUCAAGAGAUCGAGACCAUCCUGGCCAACAUGGUGAAACCCCGUCUCUACUAAAAAUACAAAAAAAAAAAAUAGCUGGGUGUGGUGCCGUGCGCCUGUAGUCCCAGCUACUCAGGAGGCUGAGGAAGAAGAAUCACUUGAACCCAGGAGGCAGAGGUUGCAGUGAGCUGAGAUUGUGCCACUGCACUCCAGCCUGAUGACAGAGAGAGAAUUCCAUGCUCAUGGGUAGGAAAAAUCAAUAUCGUGAAAAUGGCCAUACUGCCCAAGGUAAUUUAUAGAUUCAAUGCCAUCCCCAUCAAGCUACCAAUGACUUUCUUCACAGAAUUGGAAAAAACUACUUUAAAGUUUAUACGGAACCAAAAAAGAGCCCGUAUUGCCAAGUCAAUCCUAAGCCAAAAGAACAAAGCUGGAGGCAUCACGCGACCUGACUUCAAACUAUACUACAAGGCUACAGUAACCAAAACAGCAUGGUACUGGUACAAAAACAGAGAUACAGACCAAUGGAACAGAACAGAGCCCUCAGAAAUAAUGCCGCAUAUCUACAACUAUCUGAUCUUUGACAAACCUGACAAAAACAAGCAAUGGGGAAAGGAUUCCCUAUUUAAUAAAUGGUGCUGGGAAACCUGGCUAGCCAUAUGUAGAAAGCUGAAACUGGAUCCCUUCCUUACACCUUACACAAAAAUUAAUUCAAGAAGGAUUAAAGACUUAAACGUUAGACCUAAAACCAUAAAAACCCUAGAAGAAAACCUAGGGAAUACCAUUCAGGACAUAGGCAUGGGCAAGGACUUCAUGUCUAAAACACCAAAAGCAAUGGCAACAAAAGCCAAAAUUGACAAAUGGGAUCUAAUUAAACCAAAGAGCUUCUGCACAGCAAAAGAAACUACCAUCAGAGUGAACAGGCAACCUACAGAAUGGGAGAAAAUUUUUGCAAUCUACUCAUCUGACAAAGGGCUAAUAUCCAGAAUCUACAAUGAACUCUAACAAAUUUACAAGAAAAAAACAACCCCAUCAAAAAGUGGGCAAAGGAUAUGAGCAGACACUUCUCAAAAGAAGACAUUUAUACAGCCAAAAGACACAUGAAAAAAUGCUCAUCACCACUGGCCAUCAGAGAAAUGCAAAUCAAAACUACAAUGAGAUACCAUCUCACACCAGUUAGAAUGGCAAUCAUUAAAAAGUCAGGAAACAACAGGUGCUGGAGAGGAUGUGGAGAAACAGGAACACUUUUACACUGUUGGUGGGACUGUAAACUAGUUCAACCAUUGUGGAAGUCUGUGUGGCGAUUCCUCAGGGAUCUAGAACUAGAAAUACCAUUUGACCCAGCAAUCCCAUUACUGGGUGUAUACCCAAAGGAUUAUAAAUCAUGCUGCUAUAAAGACACAUGCACACGUAUGUUUAUUGCAGCACUAUUCACAACAGCAAAGACUUGGAACCAAGCCAAAUGUCCAACAAUGAUAGACUGGAUUAAGAAAAUGUGGCAUGUAUACACCAUGGAAUACUAUGCAACCAUAAAAAAUGAUGAGUUCAUGUCCUUUGUAGGGACAUGGAUGAAGCUGGAAACCAUCAUUCUCAGCAAACUAUUGCAAGGACAAAAAACCAAAUACGGCAUGUUGUCACUCAUAGGUUGUAAUUGAACAGUGAGAACACAUGGAUACAGGAAGGGGAACAUCACACACCGGGGCCUGUUGUGGGGUGGGGAGAGAGGGGAGGGAUAGCAUUUGGAGAUAUGCCUAGUGUUAAAUGACGAGUUACUGGGUGCAGCACACCAACAUGGCACAUGUAUACAUAUGUAACUAACCUGCACUUUGUGCACAUGUACCUUAAAACUUAAGUAUAAAAAAAAAAAAAAGUUACAUCCUGGUUUCUCAAAUUGUGCCACAACUGGCUAUUGUUAUUUCUAGGAAGAAAUCUCACUGUGGCUUUUUGUCUAAAACAUGAAAACUUUUAGUAUACAAAAGACAUUCCCUCCACUGAGAAGGACUUGUAGGGUUAUUUACUAAAGCUGCCUUUUUAAUUUCUCUUUAAUUAUCCUCAAUCCUACUCAUUUCUCCUGGAGAGGUGGCUGGCAAUAAGGGUAGUGGCUUGCCUGCCUUGACAGUUGUGGUACUUCCUGAGGGUGGCCACAUAAGAGGACACAGUGAACAGGUGAUACUCAAGGAAAGCAAAGAUUCAGGGGACAGAGGAGCUGGUUGUAAGGAUGUAUCUGCCUGUUCCCUCCCUGAUACAGGAAUACCUCCUCAUCCGGCCCAUCUCUAUCUGUUUAUAUCUCCUGUCAUCCUUGUAGAUACAGGAAACUAAAUGACAGCAGUUAACACACCAAGGUAAGAAUAAGUAGUAAACAUCUGAGAAGAGCAGUUCAGGAUGGCUGGCUACUAAAUAACCCUCACCACACACACCUGCUGCCCAUCUGGGCCAGUUCAUGAGGACCGAUUUGACUAGAGCUGUCCCAGCAAGUGCAUUCCAACAUCUGGUCAUGAUGCUCUGAAGGGCACCAGCCUCUUCUUGUCACCCCCUCUUCUCCACACUGAGCCACCAUCACCUCAUGCCCGGAUCACUGCCAUAGCCUAUCUGGUCUUCUUGCUUCCACUCUGGACCUUCUACGGUCUACUUUCAACCCAACAGCCAGAGGGAGUCCCCUCCUUUGUUAUUCAAUUUAACUAACACUGAGUGCCUACAAUGCCAGUUUCUGAGAGAUAUAAAUAUUACAUGAACCCUGCCUUCAAGGAGGUCACAGUCCUAUAGAAGUCUCUCUAGCAAAAAGAGACACAAAUAAAUGUUUACGUAGAGUUAAGUGCCAAAUAAAGUGAAAUACUCAAAGUGGUCCUUUUAAAACUAUUACUCCUCUGCCCAGAACCGCACAAGGCUCCCCCAUUUCACUCAAGAAAAAAGUCCUUCAUGUAGGGCCUCACGAUCCUAUAUUAGUACUUCUCAAAUUAUCUAUGAAGGACAGGAGUCUUGUGCUUAUUUCUUUUGUAAAAUACAAUAAAAAUGCAACCGAAUAGUGCAGCAGUGUCAAAUUGUUAUAAAAGUUUCUAAUUGCUCCCUCUCAGUCUCAGCUAGCAGCACUCAUUUGAUCUGGCUUUCUGAGCUCGUUUUCUCAUUACUCAUGGGUGUACUCUGUGCCAGUGAACUGGCAUGCCCACCUCGCUCCAGCCCAAGUCAUUGCGUCUGUCUUACACUCUUCCUCCAUGUAGGAUAUGGCUGCAUAGCUCAUCCCUCCUCCUUCGGCAAGUCUUUUCAAAUGUCAUUUUCUCAAUGAGGGCGACCCUGAGGACCCAAACUGAAAACUGCAAACCAACCUCUGCCCUGGCACUCCCAUCACUCUGCUCUGCUGCUGCUUCUCUCCCAUUGUGCUUAUCGCCCUCUAACAUCUUCUGCCGCUUACUGAUUAUGCUAUGGUCUGUCUCUUCCCACAGGGCAGGAAUCUUUAUCUGUUUGUUCACUGUUGUAUCCCUAACGACCUAGAACUAGGUCUGAGAUACUGUAGGCACUAAAUUAAUAUUUGUGGAAAGAAUGACUUGUCCUCUCACAUUCUGUCUCAACUCUUACCUCUAAUUUUAAAGGAUCCUGAAUGGUUGACAAGAAACCAAAAGUGUGUGGGGAAUACAAGCCCUCAUUCAAUAAGCCUAAUGUUGUAGCAGUUAAAAUUACAGGUACCAUUACAUGAAAUAUUCAGAAUAGCUCAAUCCACAGAGACAGAAUGAAGACUGGUGUCUGUAAGGGGCUUGCAGGGGGAGGACGGGGAGAAACUGCUGGAUGGUUGUGGGACCUUACUUUGGAGUGAUGGAAAGGUUCUGGAACUGGACGUGGUGGUAAUUAUACAACACUCUGAAAGUGCUAGAGGCCAAAGAAUUGUUCACUUCACAGUGGUUAAUUUUAUGUCAUGUGAAUUUCACCUAAUAAGUUAAAAAUCACAAGUACAAAAAUACUUAUAUCUCACCUUAUUGUAUUAUCCAUAUAUACUUAGUAAUACAAAUCUCAAUAUAGAGCUCAAAAAGACACUAUACUCUCCUGCAACUGGACAAAGAUAAGGUGCAGAAGCCUGAAGAAGCAGCAAGAAAUGGCACAUGAUGAAGCCAGGAAACUGGGAGUUCCUGGCAAAGGAGGGGAGGGAUGGCAGGGGCAGGGCAGGGAAAAACCACACACCACUGGGGAGGGCAACAUUGUAGGGUGAGGCGCGGCAGUGUCACAGGGCCUGUGUUCACAGCCUUGUGUAGUCCCUCCCACCCUGGGCUUAGCCAGGAGUACCCUGCAUGUGAAGCAGCAGAGGAGACAUCUAGGCCCAGUGAGCUGCACAGUGUCUGUCUCUGAAUCUGCAUGGUCAGGGAGGCUGCUCUGAGGAGGAGGCAUUUGGCCCAGAUGGGACAGAACUGAUUUGAGAAAUGCAAGAGAGCGGUCUGCCUGGCAGAACCUUCCCCAAGUGUCCUGAGAUGCUGGGAAAGGGCCUGGUUCCUCCCGGAAGGCCUGGGCAUAGUAGACUGUCCUGGUUGGGUGGUUUUAUUUGUUAAUCUCCUCUGCCACUGGAGAAACUCGGGAGCGACUACUGCUACCUGUGUGCAUGAGCACACGUUCAGCAUGAACACAUCUGUGCUCCCGGUGGCCACCUGUCUGGCUCCGGCUCUGGACUGCUUGUUCUGACUCUGUCUCACUAUCACAUUUUGCUUCUCCACCCCCUCACCCUUCACCUCCCAUGUUCUUGACUGCCAGUCACACAUGCUGCCCCUUUCUUUUGAUCUCUGCCUGUGUCUCUCUUGCCUGCUCUGGUUCCCCAUUUACUUCCUCCUUUCCCUCCACCCAACAGUCUCCCCACUCCCUCUGUCUCCCUCCCUCUCAAGUCCUUUCAGCCUCUCUGAACAACUGAACACAUCCACCUGGACCUGGAGGGAAGAUGGAUCCUUACCCAGCGAGACGUGUCUGUCCUUCCUCUGGGUGGCACCCCUGUAGAGGGCCCUUUGUGCAGGGCCUGGGCACAUCCAUUCUUGCUGACAGAGGGAUACAGCUCUGUUGUCACACGUGGCUGGUCCCUGUAACAACACUGGAGCUGCUGCUACCGAUAAAAUAGCACCACUCUAGCCUGGGGUGGGGGCAGAGACAGGAUCACAGUUGUCAGAUCAGGGGCAAGGCAAAGGCAGGGGAGGUCAGCUCCCAGUGGGACAGGUUCUGAGCCAUGUGAUGAUGUCAGAGUGGACAGAAUCAAAAUAACCCGAGAAGCCCCAUGGACCACACAGAAUCUUUCUCAUGUCUCUGGAAAUGAAGAGGGUUUUGGGGUGAGAGUGGGUACUCAGGAGACAGAAGGCAUCAACCACAGCUCACCUGGGACCCAGCUGUCCAGACCACAGCACCUGUCUCCUGGUCGUGGAGACCUGUGUUUUGAGGCAGGUUCCUGGGAGCCUGAGGAGCAAGCCAGGCUGGGGGAAAAAACAGCCGCUAUUAGAGGGCGGCUUCCACACAACAGCACAGAGCAGAAGCUCUCAAAGUGGGCUCCUGGGCCAGCCGCAUCAGCAGCCCCUGGCAACCCAUCAGAAAUACAAAUUCUGGGGCCCCACCUCAGAUCUUCUGAAUCAGAAAUUCUGGAGGUGGGGCCUAGGACUCUAUUUUAUCACUCUCCCACCUCCAAAUGAGUCUGAGGCAAACUCAAGUUUGAGAACCACUGCCAGAGCUCACAGCCUCUGUGAGUUGAGAAGUUCCUUUCAUGAGAUUCCUCUUGGCAUAAGAGCUUUAAUUUUUUUUUUUUCAUUUUAAAGAAAAAUAUACAUGUCAGGGAAAAAAAGAGAAUCGUAGUGGGCAAACAAAAAUCUCUCCAUAGCCCUGCCACCCAAAGAUAACCACAGUACUCUUUAAAAUAUCACAGUAACAGAAACCCUUUAUAUUUUUCAGACCACGAUAAUACAUUUUUUCUCAAGUCUCCAACUUCAAGAACUGUACAAAUAUGACUGUGACAUCGCUUGAAAAUAUAGGAAAAUUAAAAAAAUUGUACAAAUAAAAUGAAUCAUGUCUAUGACUUAUUAAUGGAACUUCAGUGGCAACUCAGAGGACAUGUUUGCUUCCCCUUCCGCCACGAUUGUAAGUUUCCUGAGGCCUCCACAGCCAUGCAGAACUGAGCUCUCUGUACAUCCUCAACCAGAGCCACAGCUUCCUCGCCGUUUUCUGGAUGCUGCUCCCUCACCCAGGUCUGGAUCUCCUCUGGCAAGAUAGUCAGAAACUGCUCCAAAACCAGCAGCUCCAGGAUUUC